rnacentral:rRNA from 1 species
GAUGAGCGCUGGCGGCGUGCCUAAUACAUGCAAGUCGAGCGAACAGACGAGGAGCUUGCUCCUCUGACGUUAGCGGCGGACGGGUGAGUAACACGUGGAUAACCUACCUAUAAGACUGGGAUAACUUCGGGAAACCGGAGCUAAUACCGGAUAAUAUAUUGAACCGCAUGGUUCAAUAGUGAAAGACGGUUCUGCUGUCACUUAUAGAUGGAUCCGCGCCGCAUUAGCUAGUUGGUAAGGUAACGGCUUACCAAGGCAACGAUGCGUAGCCGACCUGAGAGGGUGAUCGGCCACACUGGAACUGAGACACGGUCCAGACUCCUACGGGAGGCAGCAGUAGGGAAUCUUCCGCAAUGGGCGAAAGCCUGACGGAGCAACGCCGCGUGAGUGAUGAAGGUCUUCGGAUCGUAAAACUCUGUUAUUAGGGAAGAACAAAUGUGUAAGUAACUAUGCACGUCUUGACGGUACCUAAUCAGAAAGCCACGGCUAACUACGUG